GACGUAGGGGGCCAGCGUUGCUCGGAAUUACUGGGCGUAAAGGGUUCGUAGGCGGUGUGGCAAGUCGGGAGUGAAAUCUCUGGGCUUAACUCAGAGGCUGCUUCCGAAACUGCCGUGCUAGAGUGCGGGAGAGGCGAGUGGAAUUGCAGGUGGAGCGGUGAAAUGCGUAGAUAUCUGCAGGAACACCCGUGGCGAAGGCGGCUCGCUGGACCGCAACUGACGCUGAGGAACGAAAGCUAGGGGAGCAAACAGG
rnacentral:rRNA from 1 species